rnacentral:rRNA from 1 species
GUAAAGCUACUUUCAGUAGGGAGGAAGGUAGUGUAGUUAACACCUGCAUUUAUUUGACGUUACCUACAGAAGAAGCACCGGCUAACUCCGUGCCAGCAGCCGACGGUAAUACGGGAGGGUGCGAGACGUUUAAGUACGGUAAUUACGUGGGACGUAAAGCGCAUGCAGGCGGCCUAGUUAAGUCAGAUGUAGAAACGGCCCGGGGUACCUUAACCGUACGGUAAUUGCUAUUUAGAAACGUGGCGAGGCUAGAGUCUUGUAGAGGGGGUAGAAUUUCAGGUGUAGCGGUGAAAUGCGUAGAGAUCUGAAGGAAUACCAGUGGCGAAGGCGGCCCCCUGGACAAAGACUGACGCUCAGAUGCGAAAGCGUGGGGAGCAAACAGGAUUAGAUACCCUGGUAA